CCUUUCAGCAAGUUGGUUCUAGCUUGCUGCUCCGCAACCGCACAAGCGUCCGGCCUCUACAAGUAAUCCACGCAAGGCUUCUGGACAACCGAUGUCCCGGGGAGUGCUAGCUUGCAGGGAUGCAGCAGGUGGCCGAGAGAGAGGGAGAGAACUACGAGGAACAGGACUAGCUACCCUUUCCUUCAAUCUUUUCUUUUUCCUUUCUUUUUCUUACAACAUGAACUCUCAAAGCUCACUUCACUCUUUCCCAACCGGUGUCAAAACACUAAAUACUCUAAGCCAG
rnacentral:lncRNA from 1 species